AGAGUUUGAUCAUGGCUCAGAACGUACGCUGGCGGCACGCCUAACACAUGCAAGUCGAACGAAGUAGCAAUACUUAGUGGCAGACGGGUGAGUAACAUGUAGGUAUCUGCCCUUUGGCCUGGAAUAACACGAGGAAACUUGUGCUAAUACCGGAUAAGUCUUUACGGAGAAAGCUUUAUGCACCAUUGGAUGAGCCUGCACUUGAUUAGUUUGUUGGUGGGGUAAUGGCCUACCAAGACUGUGAUCAAUAGCUGAUUUGAGAGGAUGAUCAGCCACAUUGGGACUGAGACACGGCCCAAACUCCUACGGGAGGCAGCAGUGGGGAAUCUUGCACAAUGGAGGAAACUCUGAUGCAGCGAUGCCGCGUGAGUGAAGAAGGCCCUUGGGUUGUAAAGCUCUUUCGUCGGGGAAGAAAAUGACUGUACCCGAAUAAGAAGGUCCGGCUAACUUCGUGCCAGCAGCCGCGGUAAUACGAAGGGACCUAGCGUAGUUCGGAAUUACUGGGCUUAAAGAGUUCGUAGGUGGUUGAAAAAGUUAGUGGUGAAAUCCCAGAGCUUAACUCUGGAACUGCCAUUAAAACUUUUCAGCUAGAGUAUGAUAGAGGAAAGCAGAAUUUCUAGUGUAGAGGUGAAAUUCGUAGAUAUUAGAAAGAAUACCAAUUGCGAAGGCAGCUUUCUGGAUCAUUACUGACACUGAGGAACGAAAGCAUGGGUAGCGAAGAGGAUUAGAUACCCUCGUAGUCCAUGCCGUAAACGAUGUGUGUUAGACGUUGGAAAUUUAUUUUCAGUGUCGCAGGGAAACCGAUAAACACACCGCCUGGGGAGUACGACCGCAAGGUUAAAACUCAAAUGAAUUGACGGGGACCCGCACAAGUAGUGGAGCAUGUGGUUUAAUUCGAAGAUACGCGCAGAACCUUACCAACACUUGACAUGUUCGUCGCGACUCUAAGAGAUUAGAGUUUUCGGUUCGGCCGGACGAAACACAGGUGCUGCAUGGCUGUCGUCAGCUCGUGUCGUGAGAUGUUGGGUUAAGUCCCGCAACGAGCGCAACCCUCACUUUUAGUUGCCAUCAUUAAGUUGGGCACUCUGAAAGAACUGCCAGUGAUAAGCUGGAGGAAGGUGGGGAUGACGUCAAGUCCUCAUGGCCCUUACGUGUUGGGCUACACACGUGCUACAAUGGUAUCUACAACAGGAAGCAAGACUGCGAAGUUAAGCAAAUCCCUAAAAGAUACCUCAGUUCGGAUUGCACUCUGCAACUCGAGUGCAUGAAGCUGGAAUUACUAGUAAUCGUGGAUCAGCGUGCCACGGUGAAUGCGUUCCCGGGUCUUGUACACACCGCCCGUCACACCAUGGGAGUUGGUUCUACCUUAAGGCAAGGUUUCAAACCCUUGACCACGGUAUAGUCAGCGACUGGGGGGAAGUCGUAACAAGGUAA
rnacentral:rRNA from 1 species